UACGUAGGGUGCGAGCGUUGUCCGGAUUCACUGGGCGUAAAGGGCGCGUAGGCGGCCUCGUCAGUCGGGCCUGUAAGUGCGGGGCUCAACCCCGUGAUGGGCUCGGGACGGCGGGGCUGGGGCGCGGCAGAGGGAGACGGAAUGCCGGGUGUAGCGGUGAAAUGCGCAGAUAUCAGGAGGAACACCGGUGGCGAAGGCGGGUCUCUGGGCCGAAACUGACGCUGAGGAGCGAAAGCGUGGGGAGCGAACAGG
rnacentral:rRNA from 1 species